AUGACAUGCUUGAGCUGGAACUGCCGGGGGCUUGGGAACCCCGAGGCAGUUCGUGAGCUUCGCAGUAUAGUGAAGCUGGAAGGACCCACCCUCCUCUUUGUAAUGGAAGCGAAAAUUCAAGCAAAAAGAGUUGAGGCAUUGAAGUAUUCUCUCGGUUUUGGAGGUUCUUUUGCAGUCGACAGUGUCGGCCUUAGCGGCGGCAUUGGUCUUUUC
rnacentral:rRNA from 1 species